rnacentral:rRNA from 1 species
GAUGAACGCUGGCGGCGUGCCUAAUACAUGCAAGUCGAGCGAACAGACGAGGAGCUUGCUCCUCUGACGUUAGCGGCGGACGGGUGAGUAACACGUGGAUAACCUACCUAUAAGACUGGGAUAACUUCGGGAAACCGGAGCUAAUACCGGAUAAUAUAUUGAACCGCAUGGUUCAAUAGUGAAAGACGGUUUUGCUGUCACUUAUAGAUGGAUCCGCGCCGCAUUAGCUAGUUGGUAAGGUAACGGCUUACCAAGGCAACGAUGCGUAGCCGACCUGAGAGGGUGAUCGGCCACACUAGAACUGAGACACGGUCCAGACUCCUACGGGAGGCAGCAGUGGGGAAUCGUCCGCAAUGGGCGAAAGCCUGACGGAGCAAAGCCGCGUGAGGGAUGAAGGUCUUCGGAUCGUAAAACUCUGUUAUUAGGGAAGAACAAAUGUGUAAGUAACUAUGCACGUCUUGACGGUACCUAAUCAGAAAGCCACGGCUAACUACGUG